rnacentral:lncRNA from 1 species
UUUUGAGAUGCUCUAGAAAAGGUUGAUGCCAUUAGAUUGAUAAAUAUCCUAAUGUCUGAAUUUAGGCAUGGAUUCCCAACUGGACAUCGUGCAUGAAAAUUUUGGAGAUCUACUAAAAACCUCAGCAGCUUUAGUUUUUUUCUUUUAAUCCAACAAAGAGUGAAAUGGUCCUUUUGCUUUUCUUUUAGAAAUAAGGAACGAUUAAGAAUUGUUAUCCAUUUUUUAAGUGGGUUGCCAAAGGGUUUUCAUAUGUUGUCACAUCAUGGCAAUGCUUGUCAAAUUACGCCAGUAGCUUCAGCUUAUUUAGCUUUUCAGUUGACACCAAAAAUUUGAACCCUCCUGAGUAUCCUAAAAUCAUAGAAGCUUCUUAUCUUGGAAGCAACUACAGUCCUCUUUAUCACUCUUGUAAUUCCUUACCAACAUCCCUUCCAUAAAUUUGACUUCAACACAUGCAGACCAGAAGUCUAAGAGCCUCACAUUAUGUUCUGCCAAAGUCAUUAUUUAUUCAUUGGUAAGUCCAGCGAUCAUCCUUCAUCAGCAACCUACUAGUUCAUUUAGGGGAUGGUUGCUGUCAUACAUCUUUAAGGACUAUGCAGAUCAAAUGGUCAACGGACUUGGAAAUGAAGAUCCAUUUGAUGAAGCUUCCUAAAAAAUAUAAUGAUUAGAGGAGAAAAGGUUCCAAACUACAUGUUGUAUAAAAUCUAACAAGUGGGCAGAGAAAAACUUCCAUAGUAUGUGUCACAAUAAUGAUCAAGAAACCAGUAUAAGCUAUAAAAGUGAUACAAUAUCUAGGAAGCAGCUAGUCACAGAUACCAACUGCUGUCCCCAGAAAGGGCUCAAAUGUGUGGUGACUCACCUGAAAUUCUUGCUUCGGAAAAGAGUUUCCUACAGUACUGUACAUGGGAUGAUUGCCAGCUUUGUCAUCUAGUAAAGUAAAAUAAUAAAUCCUCAAUUCAGUAACAUCAGUGAGAAACAGUUCAAUGUUGAACAUUGUAAGUAGAUAAUGAAGAGAUACCUGAUAGAAACCAACAGAAUCGAAUCCCAAGCUGAGUUUCUAUAAUCCAAUCGAAAUCCCAUUUAGAGCACCAAAUCCAAUGACAGUUUUUAUCCUAUUGGUUUGUGCUUGAAGAAUUUCAACCAUAAUGCCACAUAAAGCAAACAAAGUUACCAGUAAAUGCCAGCUCGUAUAAUAAAAAUACUCAUAUAAAUAUCAUCUUCUUCUUAAUCUUUAUCGUUUUUUGAUAACAUUUCACUGUUUCCCAAAAGAAAACUUCAAUAAAAAAAAUCAACAUCACAAUUAGGGACUUUUUCCCUUCUAAAUCUAAUUACAACAUCAAAUUACGAGGUUAAGAAAAAUAUAAACUUUUCUAUCUAGAAAUAGAAGCUGGACUUCUUCCUUUCUAGAUCUAAUUACAUCAAAUUAUGAUGUUAAGAGAAAAAUAUAAACUACUCUAUUGGAAAUUAAAAGCUGGAUCAAACGAAAGUUAUAUUCUUACUAUUUAUAGCAUGUUUGACGUGUCCAACCAAGCAUUCUCAGUUGAAGGAAUACUUUUAGUAACAAAGGCAAUCAGUUAGGACUUGUGCAGUUGCCUCACUUCAAGUUCAAUAACAAUCCAAUUCAAAAAUUGACAAUAACCUCCUCUUCUAAAAUAACAACAUUAUUAAAGGUCCUCAACUGGAGUAAAUUAUAUCAAUUCCAUCACUUUCGAAAGAAUUUGCGCCAAGGAAUGUAAGUAAUGUAAUGACACAUGAAUUUUAAGCAUUAAAUGUAUCUGUCUGAGGCAAUAUACCGAGCAAUGACAAGAACGUUCAAUUCAUUAUGGUAGAAAAAUAUCAUUUUUAAAACAAGGAAAAAGUACCUAAUGUAGAGUAUUAAAACUCACCAAAAAUGAAACGUAAAGUGCUCAUGAGUGCUUUACUGCAUAUCACAAUAGAAACUCACAAUAGAAAUUGACGAAACGACUGACAGAGUCAAAGCCCCUAUAGUCCCCAAAUGGAAUCCUGUGUUCUAAGUCAUCUUUCAAUUUUUCCCUAAACAAAAAUUUCAAUAAUCCACAACAAUAACAAUUUGAACAAAUUAAAUCAAAAUUUCCCACAUGCAGGUCUGAAUUUCAAUUUUCUACAAAAUCAGAACCAGCUGCGAAUUACGUAUCGGGAAUUUGGGAGAAUUUUUUUCCUUGAAUAAAGGGAAAAUUUAAGCAGUCACAUAAGCA